CUGGCUGAGAGGAGCGUGGCUGUCUCCUCUCUCCGUCAUGGCGUGUGCUCGCCCACUAAUAUCGGUGUACUCCGAAAAGGGGGAGUCAUCUGGCAAAAAUGUCACUUUGCCUGCUGUAUUCAAGGCUCCUAUUCGACCAGAUAUUGUGAACUUUGUUCACACCAACUUGCGCAAAAACAACAGACAGCCCUACGCUGUCAGUGAAUUAGCAGCGACAGUUGCCUGCUGUCAGUAAGCUGGUACAGAAGGUUGACGAAAAUUCUUACUGAGCAAGAAAUAACCUUGUUGUAAUUACUAAAAUUUGAGAAAUGUGAUUCUUGACUGGAAAAAUAGAUGUGUCGUGGAGGCCGAAUGUUUGCACCAACCAAAACCUGGCGCCGUUGGCAUCGUAGAGUGAACACAACCCAAAAACGAUAUGCCAUCUGUUCUGCCUUGGCUGCUUCAGCCCUACCAGCACUGGUCAUGUCUAAAGGUCAUCGUAUUGAGGAAGUUCCUGAACUUCCUUUGGUAGUCGAAGAUAAAGUUGAAGGUUACAAGAAGACCAAGGAAGCUGUUUUGCUCCUUAAGAAACUUAAAGCCUGGAAUGAUAUCAAAAAGGUCUAUGCCUCUCAGCGAAUGAGAGCUGGCAAAGGCAAAAUGAGAAACCGUCGCCGUAUCCAGCGCAGGGGCCCGUGCAUCAUCUAUAAUGAGGAUAAUGGUAUCAUCAAGGCCUUCAGAAACAUCCCUGGAAUUACUCUGCUUAAUGUAAGCAAGCUGAACAUUUUGAAGCUUGCUCCUGGUGGGCAUGUGGGACGUUUCUGCAUUUGGACUGAAAGUGCUUUCCGGAAGUUAGAUGAAUUGUAUGGCACUUGGCGUAAAGCUGCUUCUCUCAAGAGUAACUACAAUCUUCCCAUGCACAAGAUGAUUAAUACAGAUCUUAGCAGAAUCUUGAAAAGCCCAGAGAUCCAAAGAGCCCUUCGAGCACCACGCAAGAAGAUUCAUCGCAGAGUCCUAAAGAAGAACCCACUGAAAAACUUGAGAAUCAUGUUGAAGCUAAACCCAUAUGCAAAGACCAUGCGCCGGAACACCAUUCUUCGCCAGGCCAGGAAUCACAAGCUCCGGGUGGAUAAGGCAGCUGCUGCAGCAGCAGCACUACAAGCCAAAUCAGAUGAGAAGGCGGCGGUUGCAGGCAAGAAGCCUGUGGUAGGUAAGAAAGGAAAGAAGGCUGCUGUUGGUGUUAAGAAGCAGAAGAAGCCUCUGGUGGGAAAAAAAGCAGCAGCUACCAAGAAACCAGCCCCUGAAAAGAAGCCUGCAGAAAAGAAACCUACUACAGAGGAAAAGAAGCCUGCUGCAUAAACUCUUAAAUUUGAUUAUUCCAUAAAGGUCAAAUCAUUUUGGACAGCUUCUUUUGAAUAAA
rnacentral:sRNA from 1 species